rnacentral:rRNA from 1 species
UACGUAGGGGGCAAGCGUUGUCCGGAUUUAUUGGGCGUAAAGAGCGUGUAGGCGGCCAGGGAGGUCCGUUGUGAAAACUCGAGCUCAACCUCGAGGCGCCGAUGGAAACCCCCUGGCUAGAGUCCGGAAGAGGAGAAUGGAAUUCCUGGUGUAGCGGUGAAAUGCGCAGAUAUCAGGAAGAACACCCGUGGCUAAGGCGGUUCUCUAGUACGGUACUGACGCUGAGACGCGAAAGCGUGGGGAGCGAACAGG